rnacentral:tRNA from 2 species
UAGGUAGAAGCCCGCUGGUUUUGGGCGCCUAGCUGUUAACUAGGAUGUUUGUGGGAUCGAGGCCCACCUGUCUAG